GACGAACGCUGGCGGCGUGCUUAACACAUGCAAGUCGAACGGAAAGGCCCUGCUCUUGUGGGUUGCUCGAGUGGCGAACGGGUGUGUAACACGCGAGUAACCUGCCCUUGUCUUUCGGAUAACUUCAGGAAACUGGGGCUCAUAUCGGAUAUGAGAUCCUGCAGCACGGUGGGGGAUGGAAAGAUUCGGCGGUUGGGGCUGGACUAGCGGCUUACCAGCUUGUUGGUGGGGUAGUGGAUGACCAAGGCUUUGACGGAUAGCCGGCCUGAGAGGGUGACCGGCGUCAAUGGUACUGAGAGACGGCGCAGACGCGUACGGGAGGCAGUAGGCGAGAGCAUUGCACAACGGGCGGGAGCCUGAGACGACGACGCCGGGUGCGGGAUGACGGGUUUCGGGUGGUAAACCGCUGUCGCCGGUAACGAAGAAUGCGUGACGGUAAUGGGUAAAGAAGCACCGGCUAACUACGUG
rnacentral:rRNA from 1 species